rnacentral:rRNA from 1 species
UACGGGGGGGGCAAGCGUUGUUCGGAAUUACUGGGCGUAAAGGGCUCGUAGGCGGCCAACUAAGUCGGACGUGAAAUCCCUCGGCUUAACCGGGGAACUGCAUCCGAUACUGGAGGGCUUGAGUUUGGGAGAGGGAUGCGGAAUUCCAGGUGUAGCGGUGAAAUGCGUAGAUAUCGUGGAGGAACACCGGUGGCGAAGGCGGCAUCCUGGACCAACACUGACG